CCCCUUCAAUUGUUUGGCGCACGUUCAGAUUAAAAUUGGACCACAACUCAACCAGGCCUCCUCAUUUUUCACAUGUUAAGAAACUGUCUAUGCCCCCAAUAUUCAUGUAAUGACCGAAACACCCUUACCCGGCAAAGCUUGCCAUCUUUUUGUUUUUGCCUCUGUCUUGCACUGUUUAAAACAGUGAAGCUCAAUUGACAGUAAUACCCACACAAUGCCAAUCUUAUCCCGUCCGAACCAACGGAAACCUCCCUGUCGUUUGUCCAAAACACCUGUCCUCCCUCGUCCACUCCUGAAAACAAGACACGGGUGCCGCUUUUGUCUGGUCUUCCUGUCACCAAACAUACAGUUCCCGCAAAACAAAACAGCAAGAGAGAGAAACGAAAUCCUAGAGAGAGAAACGUUAGGAGAAAAUGGACGAUGGCACGACCGAGGCCGAGCGGUGGCUAAGCAUAGCGGAGAAACUACUGGCGUCGCGUGAUUUGCAGGGGACCAGAACCUUCGCGAUCCGAGCUCGAGAAUCGGCCCCUGUCCUCGCGGACCAAAUCCUCGCCGUAACCGACACUCUCUUAACCGCCCAAGCCAACCCUCAAGACUGGUACGGGAUCCUCCAACUCGUUCCCUUAACUCAGUCCAUGGAAGUGGUGGCGAGUCAGUACAGGAAACUCGCUCUCCUAUUAAAUCCUGGGAAGAACAGGCUCUCUUUCGCGGAUCAGGCGUUUCGAGUCGUUUCUGAAGCUUGGAAUGUGUUGUCGAACCCUUCUAAAAAGACCCUUUAUGAUAACGAGUUGAGGUUCCUUCAGCUUGGUCAUGUGAGUCAAAUCAGUCAACAACAACCGCAUCUUCAGCAACCGCAAACUCAGGCGCUGUUUAUGCAACCACCGCCGCCUCCACCGCCGAAAGAGACGCAAACGCUAUUUAUGCAAAUGCCGCAGAGAGAUGCGCCAGCGCAAAUUACGCAACCGCUAUAUGUGAGGAGAAGCCCUAGAAAAAAUAAUAGUAAAGACGAAAAUGCUGCAUUAGAAGGAGGAGGGCAGUUGGGUUUAAAUAAUAAUCAGGAGGAUUCCACUCGGCAGGCUGAAUCAACUUGGACGAGGCAGAUUAAUCAGAUAGGUUUAACAGGACCGGGUCAGAUUAAUCUGACAGGAUCAGUUGGUUCGAGCCAGAUUAGUCGGCCCGAGCCUACACGGACGAGCCAGAUUAACCAGACAGGAACUGCUAGCUCCAGUCAGUUUAAUGGGACUGAGCCGACUCGGGCGGGUAUGAUUAAUCGGACAGCAACUCCUUCUACGGAGCAUAGUCGGACAGAGUCAACUGGUGGGGCUCGGAAGACUGAUUCGACUUGCCCUAGUCAAGCUUCUGAGAACGAGGGACCGACUUUCUGGACCGCCUGUCCGUACUGUUACGUUCUCUAUGAGUACCCGAAGGCAUAUGAGGAUUGUACUUUGAGGUGUCAGACUAAGACUUGCAGGAGAGCAUUCCACGCAGUUGUGAUACCAUCACCGCCGGUGACCGGAAAGGACACGUAUUUCUGCUGUUGGGGGAUUUUCCCAUUAGGAUUUUCGGGGAAUGGAAAGAAUAUGGACGGUAAUUUUCCCAGUUGGUCACCUAUUUCGACCAUGUUUGCAUGCCCUAACAACAAGAAUGUUGAAAAACAAAAGACCGCCAAAAAGUCUGCUCCGAGAGUGUUUUAUGAUGAGCAUGAUGUAUAUGUAGAGAUAUCUGAUUCGAGUGUGAGUUCUGAGGAGGAGGAGGAUGAUGAUGAUGAUGAUGAAUGGCAGAAUGAGAGGAGAAAGAAGAAGGCGAAGAAUGCCAAAGGGAAAGGAUCCGUGGGGAAAAAUGCUAAGAAACCACAGAGUGAGAGAGUGAAAAAGGAGAGUAAUGAGCAAGUUAAUGUCAGUCACGGUGGGAAUUUGAGUGGUGCGUCCAUGGUGCGAGAUGGUAUGCCAACUGCUGAGUCGAGCAGAAGGGGAGUAGGAAGUAGUGGGAGGAAGCAGAUGGGAAGAGGGGCAAAAGAUUUGGGGAAGUUGGAUUUGAAUGUGGAGUUUAGUAAUGAAGUGGAUGAGCCGGCACCAGGGCGGAGUGAGGGGAAUCAUGCUGGAUAUGGGGAGGAGGAUAACAUUGAAGGGAAUGGCUUUUUUGAGGGUCUUGAUGAGUUUUUGAGUAGCUUGCCUAUACUCUCAGUUGUUGGGGAUGAUAAAGUUAAGGCUACUUAGUGAAGUAAGAUCCUUGUUUUUUGGUUUUCGUUUGCAGCGCUCGUAGUUGUUGUAACUGUAUGCUUGUAGUGUUUAAUUAUGUGGAGGUACUUGGGAUCUCCUUCCAUGAAUUUCUCAGAGUUGAAUUCGAUCUUUCCUCUCAUUAUUUUUAUUGUUUUCUGCUGCCUGUUUAUUCUGAAUAAAUUUUCCUGUUUGGGAGGGUAGGUUAGAAAGUUUGGUACAUAAGCAUAAGACAUGUUGGUUGAGGAUUGAGUAUUCUGUCUACCGUGAUACUUGCAGUCACAGGAAUAGAUGGUAAGUUUUCUGACUGGUUCUCUUUCUCUUUGAUUUGAGAAUUUAACUAUAGGGUAUUCCCCCUCAUGAUAUUGCUGCCUUCAAAUUUUGAUCUCCUCCUAGAGUGCUUUUUUCCCUGCCACUUUUUCCUCUUAUAAAAAGAAGAAAACGGACUGACACUGAGAUAUUAAUGUGCUUUGAAAAGGCAGAUUGAGCUAUUUAGAUUUGUUACCUUUGCUUUUGAGAGGAUUUCAUUGGACAGAGGAUUCUUAGCGGAAGAAGGUUCAAUCUUUAUGGACCCUCUAUUGAUUUUGUUACCAAUGCUUGCGAUUUCAUAAAUCCUCUUCCUUGGUUCUAUAUAUGACUUUCCAGAGGUUGUUUCCAUUACCACUUAACUCUUCCAUUCUAAAAAAGGUGUGAAUAUCAGCUUUAAUAUCCUUUUUGUUGAUUGUGUCCUUGCUUUACUUGUAUGUACUUGUAAUUCAUGCAUCUUUCUUUAUCAUGAAAGCUUUGGCUCGAAUUCAGUUACCCACAAUAACUGUUAGUCUUGCUCUGCAGCUUCAGAGUUCUCUCCCUCCCUCUCAUUAAACUGACUAUUAGUUUUUACCUUUGCUGGAUAACUUUGUAGUAUGACUUGCCCAGAAUUAGUUUUGCUGCAAUACUGGCCGCCACUGAUUAUUUCUUCUUCAUUGUUGGCCUGAAUUUUAAAAAAGUAGCCUUUCCUUAAGCUCUUUCUGGCUCUUUUUGUAAUUCAAGAACUGAAGCAUCUAAUGUUUAUAUGGUAAUUUGUGGCAUGUAGCCUUAUGAUCAAGGAGUUUAGAAAUUUCCAGUCUGAAAGAUUUAUUCUUACUACUCUUUAUAUAGUUGCUCCAUAAAUAAGACCUUAAAACAUUAUUCCUUCUAAGAUGCUGAAACACCCCUGGAUCAACAUUGUGCUAAAUCUUUAGACGCCUAUUCUUCCCAAUAUCUUUGAAAGUUAGCUUUAUAAACUCCUUGCCCUUAUUUAGAGAUUUGAAAUCUGAUGUUUCCCUUUCCUUUCUUUUUAUAUCUUGAUCAAGGUAUUUGGUAACUAGUUUGGUAUAAUAUUUUAGCUCAAUAUCAACGUUCCCCUAUCCACCCAAGUACUGCUCUUUGGUAAUUGAGUUGUUGUGCUUUAUGUUUAAUUUCCUUGUCUUAUAACAGGCAUCAUCUUCGUAUUGCAACAUUCAAGGAGAUAGCUAACUUUCUGAUCAGAUGUUGAAGAUUCCAACAUCUUAUUCUAAUUAUUAGUUCUAGUUAUAUGCAACGAUGGCUGCACAUUUUAAAUGUUACUAUUCUGUGUCAUAUGAUUUAUGCUUUCUUUUCUUUGUGCUUGGUACUGAUAAUGCUUCAACAGAUUUCUCUUUCGUAUCAUGCAUCUCUUACUGAAGGAAAGACAUGUGGGAAUGAGAAGUGCUUAGCUGGUUGGAUAUCUUUGCUUGAAUCUGUGUUUGUACUUCUUAUGGGGUUUGGGUUUUUAUAACUGACUCUUAAGUGCUUUGUGUGGCGCUGGCCUGGGAAGACAUGUGGCAUAUAGUCUGAUUCUUAACUGCACUUACUUCCCUGUAAAAAUUUGGAGGCUGCUUCUGAUUCUUCUUCCUAGUGGUGAAGUGUUGCUGAUUGUUUUAGGUGCUGAGAAGAUGUCCAAAAGCAGUGCUGUGGGAUGCAGAUUACUUGGGAUGGAAGUGAACGGCUUUCUUAUCUGUCGACCAUACUAAGCAAUUGCAGAGUGUAGCAAUUGAUUACUUUCUCUUUCAAAAGGGCACAGGCAUGGGACUAUGGGUAACGGAGAAUCUUUUGUCUGAAAGUGGCAAUGGGGCACAGAUUUGAGAUGGUAAUUGAGAACUUGCUGCUAGACAAGAAUGCUAGCAUUGCCAAAACUGUGGUGGUGUUUGAGACACAAUUAGUGCAGAUGGCCUCUUCAGCUUUGCAGCUAAAGAUGGGUUUGAAAUGUUUUGCCAUUGGUUUCAGUUUGAAGAGAGUUUUUAUUGUUGGUAACCACUAUUCCUUGUCUAUUGAAAUUAAGCUCUCCAAUAUGGGAAAGCAUGUUAUUACUAUGAAUAUCACAGCAUCAUUGGUGUGACCCAUUUGGGGGCUAUUGAACUGGACGCCUCAUGUUCAAGAAGAGCUAUCUUGUUGGUCUCAACUUUGUCUCUCUGCAAAUGCUGAGAAUGACUAAUGAGCUAGGAAAUCCAAGUGCCGGUGACAUCUGGCUGGAAGCUUGCAAUAUAUGCGUGGUAGGAAGAUUUCUGCCUUUGAAAUCCCUUCGACACGUGGUUUAAGAGGUUCAAGACGAUGCUAAUGCUUUGCCUAAACGUGGAUGCAGCACUCAGCAAUCAGUGUUCUACCCUGGCAUGCCACUGGAUGGAAUAAGGGUGUGUCGUGUUGAGUGUCGACCUUGUUUUCUUGUUUGUUAGGCUUCGUUUUUUGCUGUCCAAUGUUUUUGUAUUCUGCCAGCCCCCUGCCCUCUUCUUUUCAUUAUUAUUUUAUUUUUCUAAUUGAAUAUUAUGUCUAGUCCAAUCACAUCAGAUAUGAAUAAAUUGUUAUGUAUUAUUCAAUCA